AGCUUUACAUUAAUUAACACAUUGCUAGUUGCAGUUCAAUAACUGUAUAGUUCUAAACUUUCUCAGCAACAGCACUUGAUUAUGGAGUUGCCAAAGAAUAUCAAAAGAAGAGUGGCCUUUGUGUUAAUCGAUGGAGUAGGCGAUGUAUCUUUGCCUAGAUUUCAUUACCAAAGCACCUUAGAAGUUGCCAAUACCCCAAAUUUGGAUGCAAUUGCUUCAGCUGGAGUAAAUGGGCUUAUGGAUCCUGUAGAGGCUGGUUUGGCCUGUGGCAGUGAUACUGCCCAUCUUUCUUUGUUGGGAUAUGACCCUAGAAUUUAUUAUAGAGGGCGAGGUGCUUUUGAGUCAAUGGGUGCUGGAUUGGCCAUGUCUCCGGGUGACAUUGCCUUCAAGUCAAAUUUCGCUACCAUGGAUCAGAAUACUGGAAUUGUAACAAAUAGAAGGGCUGAUCGACAUUUUGAAGAAGAUGGUCCAAUUUUCUGUGCAGCAUUGGAUGGAAUGAAGCUUCCAUUGUAUCCAGAAUAUGAAAUCAGAGUCAGGUAUGCUACAGAACAUAGAUGCGGCGUUGUGGUAAAAGGGCCAAAACUUAGCGGAAAUAUAUCUGGAACAGACCCACUGAAAGACAACCGCUUGCUUCUUAAAGCCGAGGCUCUUGAUGAUACAGAAGAAGCAAAAAACACGGCUGCUAUUAUCAACGAACUUUCUAGGGAGGUAUCACGAAUUCUAGUAUCGCACCCUUUAAAUGCACGGCGGGCAGGAGAAGGGAAGAAUAUAGCAAAUGUUGUGCUCUUGAGAGGUUGUGGAAUUCGAAUUGAGGUUGAUGCAUUUGAGAAAAAACAUGGCCUGAGGCCGUGCAUGGUAGCUCCCACCAAAAUUAUAGCAGGGCUGGGUCUGUCACUAGGUAUUGACAUUCUGGAAGCUCCAGGAGCAACUGGAGAUUACCGAACACUACUAACAUCCAAAGCUACAGCAAUAGCCAAAGCCCUUUCUGCCCCAUUACAGCCAUGUCCAUCAAUUUUUGUACCUGGAGAAGAUGAGCAUAGGCCAGGACCAUCAGGUGGCUACGAUUUUGGCUUCCUUCAUAUCAAGGCGAUCGAUGAUGCGGGGCACGAUAAAGCCAGCAUGUUAAAAGUUCGAGCUUUAGAAUCGGUAGACACAGCAAUUGCUCAGUUGGCAAGGCUUCUCUGGCAAGUUGAGAAGUCUGCAAACUUUGAAUACUACUUGUGUAUUACUGGAGAUCACUCUACUCCAGUGGAGUAUGGUGAUCACAGCUUCGAGCCCGUACCUUUUUCGCUCUGUAAGCUGAGAGAUUUUAUCGGCACAAGAGGGGAAUCUAUUGUGAUGUCCACCCCUCUGGACUCCUUCCCUCUUCCAUCUGUAAAGCCUGGUGAAGAUCUUAGAAAUGACUUUCCACUGCCUGAGAAGAGUGGUGAAAGAUCUGUAGCAUUUGCUGGUGAUUCUGUGAGCAAGUUCAGUGAGAUUGCAGCAGCAAGAGGAUGCCUUGGACGGUUUCCAGGCAGUGAGAUGAUGGGUAUCAUAAAAAAGUUUAUCAAGCUGAAGAAUGAAUAGAACAAUAAAUGCCAUGGAAGUUUAUCAAGCUGCAAGUUUGUUAUUCUUGGUUUGUUUUAUGUCAUCUGAAUUUAUCCUUUCCCCCCACUUUUAGAAGCUCUCCCGAGACUGGUCUCUGCUGUCACCGAAACUCUUACAAAACAAAGCAGAGAUAAGGACGAUUGAGAGCUGCCAGGAUAGAUGAUCUUCAUCAUGGAUUUUGGCUAGACGAAUAAAGAAAAGUCGCCUGAGAAAGAAAGGCCAUUUUUGAGGAGGUAAGAGGUUUUUUUUUUCGGUGGUCCGAGUGCCUUAGCAUGGUUGGUUGAUGGAAAAAGAGAAUAAAGUAGGUGCUCAAAGCGAAUAAUGAGAGAUGGAGUACUUUUUUGUGUAAUACUUGAACCACAAUAACUAUUUACUAUUCAAUCCUCCCUCAAUUGCAUGCCUCUUUCAACUCA